AGAGCUAGCAAAUCCCAUAAACCGUGGCUCAGUUCAGAUCGUAGGCUGCAACUCGCCUACGUGAAGGAGGAAUCGCUAGUAAUCGCAGGUCAGCAUACUGCGGUGAAUACGUUCCCGGGCCUUGUACACACCGCCCGUCACACCAUGGAAGUUGGCCACGCCCGAAGCCGUUACUCCAACCCUUGUGGAGGAGGACGUCGAAGGUGGGGCUGAUGACUGGGGUGAAGUCGUAACAAGGUAGCCGUACCGGAAGGUGCGGCUGGAUCACCUCCUAA
rnacentral:rRNA from 1 species